CGCAACUGCUAUAUCACCCUGAAGACUGGUUGCCCACUGAAGCUAAGCAGGGUUGAGCCUGGUCAGUACCUGGAUGGGAGACCUCCUGGGAAAACUAGGUGGCUGCUGGAA
rnacentral:rRNA from 1 species